ACAAAGCCUCGUCGAGUCUUCCAGUAAACCGCUACCACUACAUCAACUCAGCCCCGUUCAACUACACAAUCACCAAUUCAUCACCUGGUGAUGGCUGGGUUGAGUUUACUGGGGACAAUCACGAGGCUUGUGUCGGCCAUAAGAUCUGGGCCAAGAAAUAUUACCACACCAGUGGAA
rnacentral:misc_RNA from 1 species